GUUUUGAUAGUUUAAAUAAAAACUUUGGUCUUGUAAAUCAAAAAUGAAUUAAUUUUACUUCUCAAAACU
rnacentral:tRNA from 1 species